GCUGUUCCGUGGGAGAGCACAGAGCGUGCGCGAGCCCUUGUGUCGCGGUGGCUGGAGCGCGAGCCUUUGGCUGGAGAGUCUGAGAGGAUGUGUUUGUCUC
ensembl:lncRNA